rnacentral:rRNA from 1 species
GACAGAGGUGCCGAGCGUUAGGCGGAAUCACUGGGCUUAAAGCGUGUGUAGGCGGUCCGUUAAGUACCUUGUGAAAUCCCCCGGCUCAACCGGGGAACGGCUGGGUAUACUGGCGGUCUUGAGCCAUCCAGGGGCAGUCGGAACAGACGGUGGAGCGGUGAAAUGCGUAGAUAUCGUCUGGAACGCCGAAGGUGAAAACAGACUGCUGGGGAUGCGCUGACGCUGAGACACGAAAGCCAGGGGAGCGAGCGGG